GACGAACGCUGGCGGCGUGCUUAACACAUGCAAGUCGAACGGAAAGGCCCUGCUUUUGUGGGGUGCUCGAGUGGCGAACGGGUGUGUAACACGUGAGUAACCUGCCCUUGACUUUGGGAUAACUUCAGGAAACUGGGGCUAAUACCGGAUAGGAGCUCCUGCUGCAUGGUGGGGGUUGGAAAGUUUCGGCGGUUGGGGAUGGACUCGCGGCUUAUCAGCUUGUUGGUGGAGUAGUGGCUUACCAAGGCUUUGACGGGUAGCCGGCCUGAGAGGGUGACCGGCCACAUUGGGACUGAGAUACGGCCCAGACGCCUACGGGAGGCAGCAGUGGGGAAUAUUGCACAAUGGGCGGAAGCCUGAUGCAGCAACGCCGCGUGCGGGAUGACGGCCUUCGGGUUGUAAACCGCUUUCGCCGGUGACGAAGCGUGAGUGACGGUAAUGGGUAAAGAAGCACCGGCUAACUACGUG
rnacentral:rRNA from 1 species